rnacentral:rRNA from 1 species
UAGCCCUGAAAAUGGAUGGCGCUGAAGCGUCGCGCCUAUUUGCCCGGCACCCGUGGGCUAUUCUCCAGGUUGGCCCCGGGUAGUAGGAGGGCGCGGAGGUCCCCACGACGACGUUGUGGCGGUGCAGUCUGUGGCGUGAGCACGGAUGAAGCGGCCUCCGGUGCGGAUCUUGGUGGUAGUAGCAAAUAUUCAAGGGAGGACCUUGAAGACUGAAGUGGAGAAGGGUUCCGUGUGAACAGCAGUUGGACACGGGUGAGUCGUUCCUAAGGGAAGGGGAAGUCCCCCCUUUUUGCCUGGAAGGGGUGCCCGUCCCGUUGGGGUGUAGGUUCGUCCUUGCCCUCUCGGGGUGGUGGCACCAGGCCCCGAAAGGGAAUCGGGUUAACAUUCCCGAACCGGAGUGUGGAGGCGGCUUCGGCCGUUGGCGGCAACGCAAACGAACUCGGAGACGUCGGCGGGAGCCCUGGGAAGAGUUGUCUUUUCUUCUUGACGGAGUGUGUUCCCUGGAAUCGGGUUGGCCGGAGAUAGGGUCAUCUGAUUCCGGCAUAGCGCCACACUUGUCGUGGCGUCCGGUGCGCUCCCGACGGCCCUUGAAAAUCCGAGGGAAGCGUAGUAAGGUUGGUUCCGUGCUCUCGCACCCGGUCGUACCGAUAACCGCAGCAGGUCUCCAAGGUGAGCAGCCUCUAGUCGAUAGAACAAUGUAGGUAAGGGAAGUCGGCAAAAGAGAUCCGU